rnacentral:lncRNA from 1 species
AUAAUGUGCCUUUCUGAUGUUACAAAUUCUAGAAGAAAAAAAAAAAAAAAUCUGAUUGCUAAAACCAAAAUGCACAGUGAGCUGUCUUGAUUGUAUGAAAGUUUUCAUUAUUUUUGAAUUAAUCUUAUUCAGUGGAAAAAUAUUAGGAACUGAAAUUUAUUGAUAGAUUUUUGUUUUACUAGCAAAAUAUUUAUUAUUCACGCUUUAGUUCUUCUAACCAUUACAGCUGUGGAAUAGUAAUUUCUUUCACCAGUAAGUCCAGCUUGAGGCCCAUCAUACAGCGGAAAACAAAGAGAAAAGUGCUACAUUUGCUCCCUUGGACAACCAGGUGACCCCGUCCAAGGUUAAGCAUGAAUCCCCGAGGAAGAGCUAUGCACUAUGCUCCACAACAGGAGCAACGCCUCUCUGUGACUUGAGUGAAGGUAAGAGCUUUAUUAUUUCACACGCUCUGUGCAUGGGUUCACCACAUACACCCCUCUCUUUCUCAUAAACUCACUGCAUGCUGAGCAGCAAAAAGGAAAAGUUAAGUGGAAA